ACUACUUUCAGGGCUGCCUUCUCACGUCCAGAAGCAAUACAGUUUCCAAACUGCUAGAACAGAAAAACAAAUUUGCAUUUUUCUGGAAGGACUGUCUGUGCUCAUUUCAAGCUGGUUCCGCCUUCUCCGCCAGAAACACAGAAAAUGCAGCCCCGUCUUUCCGCCAAACGCAUCGACUACGGCCAGGCGCCUGCUAACCCAGCAAGCUCUCCGCAGUAACACGUCGCAGGGGUCCCGGGCGGCGCCCGCCCCCUCCGCCGCCAGCGCAACCGCCUGAGCUUACCUGCCUCAUGUUUAGAAUCCCAUGACCCAUCCGGCAGGGAGCGAGCUGCAUCGGAGCCCGCGUCGCAGUCUUCAGAGCGGAAACACCGAACCCGACAGGAGCCCGCAAGACAAAAGCAACCCGGCGAAAUCUACGGGCAGCAAAGAGCACGUUUUCGUCCUCUUUUUCUUUGAUCUGUUGCUACACGCACUCUGCUCGAGACAAUGUCAAGUUUCUCAACCUUUUCUCCCCCAGCCUAUGAAAAGUCGGUCGCAGGGAAGCGAGGACCGCCUGGCUCUUAUUUCAAAUCAGUUCUCAGAGACGUUGUAGGUGGCUGGCUUGGGCCGCGGAGGAGCUUCGCCAAUCAGAAGCAAGGGGGUGGGUCCUGGGAGCCAGAAAGGCUGCCUCCGCGAGGAUUAGGGGCGCUUUCGGGAUUCAAAUGACUGGAAGCAGCUGGAAACAAUGUCCAAAGCUCCAAAAGUAAAGGAUGAGUUCUAUUCUUAUCUAACAGCUCUAGUUCUGCUAAAAGCUUAACUAGCUAAGGGCCUUAAAUCCUUGCAUUUUAAGAGCUCCCUAACAGCAUUAAAACAUUUGGAAGGUGCAAAAUUAUUUCAGCCAGAAAAGUUCAACACUCAGGACCCAAGGGUAUUUUUAAAAGGAUAUCUUGCACUGAAGCCCUACUUUUGCAAAAGACUGGAAAGGAAACCAAAUUGUUAUGAGUAACACCUUAACUAAAACGAACAAUCCAGAAAGGAGGGUGUUACCUACCUCAUCUGCAUAUAGAUUAACUGUAUAUUCAAUUUAAGAAAAAUAAAUCUUAAUGGGAACGUGCACACAAUUUUUUUGAAAUGCAGCAAAUGAACAAGAAUCUUUACCUACUGAAGGCCCGAGGCAUAAUUUCAAAUAACACUAUUGUCAUAGAACAAUACACACUGACAUUUUGUUCAGAAAAAAAAAAAUUUAGUGCAUCCACCUUUCUCUAUGGUUUGGCUUCCCUACAGGGUUGAUCUGUUGAACUUAUUAACAGGGACAAGCUGGACAUCACCUUGGCAGGAUUGCAGGAGAGCUGGAGAAGUAGUUGGCUUCUUAGAAACAAACUCAGACCAAAAAAAAUUUCCAAAGUUUGCUUUCUUAACUCCAUAUAAGCAAUAACUUUUUUCAACUCUUAGCCAACAUGAUUUUAAUGUAAAUCUACCUUCUGGAUUUCAAGAAAGUGCAAGUUGAGCAAAGAGUACUUUGUGUAGAACUAAUGGCAUAUUUUCCCCCAAGAAAUGACCGCAAUUUUGUGACGAUAAUUCAAUAAAGAUUUUAAAUGUGUUGGUAUCAGAGGAAAAAAAAUUACUUAGCAAAUAAUGCAUUGGUGGCUUCAGGAGUGUCAGCUGCAUGGGUUCAAUACAUGUGAGCUCUGCCCAGUUCUGUGAAAAUUUGGUGGUCCGAUAACUGGGCCUGGAAGCCCAUAACGCUAGCCCCCUGCCUGAGUAGCCUAAGGAGCCACCUAGUGACACAAACUGACUUCAGUCCACUUCUUGUACUUUUCCUUGAGAGCCCUUCAUAUGAUGGAGUUCAGGAUUUCUCAAUCUCAGCACUAUUGACAUUUUGGGCAGGAUAAUUCUUUGUCGUGAGGGCUGUCCUGUGCACUGUAAGAUGUGUAGCAGCAUCCCUGGAUUCUGCACACUAGAUGCCAGUAGCACCCCCACAAUCGUGAUGACCAAUAAUGUCUCCAGACAUUACCAAAUGUCUCCUGGGUGAUGAAAUCACGCUUUGAAAGGGUGGUUCUUAAACUUGAGGGUGCAAGGAAACCUCUGGGGAGAUUGUUAAAAAUGCAAAUCUCCAGGCCCCUGCACCAAAAUAAUCUGAUUCAGUAGGUUUGCUGAGGAGCCUGAGAAUCAGCAUUUUAUCCCACUGACAAAGGACUCUGAUUUACUUUGAGAAAUAUUGCGUCUAUCCCAGCCCUAGGUAUGCCCCAGCCACAGGACACAGGAAGCUACCCAGGGCUCCUGCCAUUAAAUACUGGAGCUUAAUCCCAUGGCACAUCUGUUUAUCACCUUCAGUAGAAGCUACAACUGCGUCUGCCUUCUGCUUUCAUCACCUCAAAGGUAAAUAUGAGCUGGGAUUUCCUCUCUCAAGGACUGAGCCCUUUUAAUGUUCCUUCCAUUUUUAUUCUCCUUUGACUCACUCACCAACUAUCCAACAAUCUCAAAUGUCACCACUCAUUCGUGAUUUCCCCAAAUGCCCCAAGAAAAAUUAAUCCCUUCCAUCUUCUAUGCCCUUAAAGCAAAAUACCCUUAUAAAAGAGGUUUCAGAGAGCCUAUUUGCCCCUUCUGCCAUGUGAGGACACAGCAACAAGGAGCCACUGAUGAAGCAGAGAGCCCUCGCCAGACACCAAAUCUGCUGGCACCUUGAUCUUGGAUUUACCUGCCUCCAGAACUACGAGAAAUAAUUGUCUGUUGUUUAUAAAUGACCCAGUCUAAGGUACAGUAUUUUGUUAUAGCAGCCUGAACUAACACAGUGCCAUAAAAUAUGCUGCCUCCAUGUUUCAGAAAACCUCUAAAAAAAAUGAAAGGUGGGGAUACACAAAGUCUUUUUCAUUUACAAAUAAACAAAUGGAAAUGUUUAAAAUUCUGAAUGAAAUAAAUGGUCCUUUGGAGAAUGUUCA